rnacentral:rRNA from 1 species
GGAAGGAUCAUUAUUGAAAUAGACCUGAUGGGUUGUUGCUGGCUCUUCAGGGAGCAUGUGCACGCCUUGUCAUCUUUAUAUCUCCACCUGUGCAUCUUUUGUAGACCCUUUCAGGGUCUAUGUUGCUUCAUUUACCCCAAUGUAUGUCAAUAGAAUGUUGUGCCUAUUAUAAUGUAUACAACUUUCAGCAACGGAUCUCUUGGCUCUCGCAUCGAUGAAGAACGCAGCGAAAUGCGAUAAGUAAUGUGAAUUGCAGAAUUCAGUGAAUCAUCGAAUCUUUGAACGCACCUUGCGCUCCUUGGUAUUCCGAGGAGCAUGCCUGUUUGAGUGUCAUUAAUACAUAUAUCAACCUUCCCUUUUGGUGAAUGGUUUGGAUGUGGGGGUUUGCUGGCCUCUAAAGAGUUCAGCUCCCCUGAAAUGGAUUAGCGGAACAACCUGGUUCAUUGGUGUGAUAAAUAUCUAUGCCGUUGAAUGUGAGGGGCAGUUCAGCUUUCUAACAGUCCUUGGACAAAUCAUCAUUAAUGUGACCUCAAAUCAGGUAGGACUACCCGCUGAACUUAAGCAUAUCAAUAAGCGGAGGAAAAGAAACUAACAAGGAUUCCCCUAGUAACUGCGAGUGAAGCGGGAAAAGCUCAAAUUUAAAAUCUGGCGGUCUUCUGGGCUGUCCGAGUUGUAAUCUAGAGAAGUGUUAUCCGCGCUGGACCGUGUACAAGUCUCCUGGAAUGGAGCAUCAUAGAGGGUGAGAAUCCCGUCUUUGACAUGGACUGCCAGGGCUUUUGUGAUGCGCUCUCAAAGAGUCGAGUUGUUUGGGAAUGCAGCUCAAAAUGGGUGGUAAAUUCCAUCUAAAGCUAAAUAUUGGCGAGAGACCGAUAGCGAACAAGU